GCGCACCAGGCGAGAAACUUCACACUGUGCGAAAGCACGAUGAGGGAAUCCCAAGUGCUUGCACGUAAGUGUAAGCUGUUUCUCUGUCUAAAACGCAGAGAGUAAGGGCUGGGUAAGACGGGUGCCAGCCGCCGCGGUAAUACCUGCAGCUCAAGUGGUGACCGUUAUUAUUGGGCCUAAAACGUCCGUAGCCGGUUUAAUAAAUGCCUGGGUAAAUUGUGUAGCUUAACUAUACGAAUUCCGGGUAGACUGUUAAACUUGAGACCGGGAGAAGUUAGAGGUACUCCUGGGGUAGAGGUGAAAUUCUGUAAUCCUAGGGGGACCACCAGUGGCGAAGGCGUCUAACUAGAACGGGUCUGACGGUGAGGGACGAAGCCCUGGGGCGCAAACGGGAUUAGAUGCCCGCGUAGUCC
rnacentral:rRNA from 1 species